AUUGAACGCUAGCGGCAGGCCUAACACAUGCAAGUCGAGCGAGCGGCGGACGGGUGAGUAAUGUAUGGGGACUGCCCGAUAGAGGGGGAUAACUACUGGAAAGGGUGGCUAAUACCGCAUACUAUCGGAUAACCCAUAUGGGAUUAGCUAGUAGGUGGGGUAAAGGCUCACCAAGGCGACGAUCCCUAGCUGGUUUGAGAGGAUGAUCAGCCACACUGGGACUGAGACACGGCCCAGACUCCUACGGAGGCAGCAGUGGGGAAUUUUGCACAAUGGGCGCAAGCCUGAUGCAGCCAUGCCGCGUGUAUGAUGAAGGCCUUAGGGUUGUAAAGUACUUUCAGCAGGGAGGCGUUACCUGCAGAAGAAGCACCGGCUAACUCCGUGCCAGCAGCCGCGGUAAUAC
rnacentral:rRNA from 1 species